GUGGCAGAACAGGAUUUGAACCAAGAUUGCCACUGUUAUCUGCCCUGCCUCUGUCAUCUUCCAUGGAUGCUCAGUGAGCCCUUUGUGAAAGAUGAAACUCAAAGGACAAAAUUGCUUGUCAUUCUAUGUAAGAGUUUACUUUUUUUAUGGUAAGAGACAUUAGGUCCUGCCAGGAAGAAACCUCCAAGCCAGUGUGAGAGGCAUACACACAACUUCUGCAGCCAGUGCUUUUGAGGAUCAUAAAAGCCAUGGAGACACCAGAGGAGUCUGUUGAGCUACCCCAACCUUGACUAUGUCCCAGGCUGAGUUUUUGGCUGGAACACUGUUUUCCUCUCCACUUACCUGGGUUCCACUGUUUCUUCAAGGUCAGAUGCAGAUCUACUUGUCCCUGGAAAAACAACCCUGUGAGUGAGGUACUCAUCUUAUCCCCAUCAUUUAGAGGAGAAGACUGAGUCAUAGAUAAAUUUAUCCAACAUCAUAGAGCCAGUUUGUGGCAGAACUGGGGUUUGAAUACUGGCAGGCUGGCCUCAAAUAUCAGAUUUCCUCACCAUUGUGCCAUGCAAUUGCUCAAUGUAUCAGUGAAUUCUGGUGAAGAAGAUGGAGAAUUCAUUUUGAUUCUGGAUAGAGCAUUAGCCAGCCUUGGGUAUAAGAAAAGAAGAAAGAGACAGCUGGGAAGAGGCAGGAAAGAAGGAAAGAGGGUCAGAAGAUUUAGGGAAAGGACAGCCAGACCUGAAAGAAAGGCUUAGACACCAACCCUCAUACUUGGGAAAGGCAGGAUGUAAUGACAUAAGAGGGGGGAAAUGAUUAAAGUGUGACCAGAGACUGAAAGCAUUCAAGUGAAAGCCAAGAGCUAUGUGAAGCAAAUAAGUAAUAUAAACCCACAAUUUGCUUUUCCUUCAGUCUGGGUGGCCUUUUGCUGUUCUCUUGUCUGCUCUGGUGGUUGUGAAGGAUGAGGCCACCCAUCAAAAGCGAUAAGUCCUGAGAACCUCUGUAUUGUUACUCUCUUUUUCCAGGUACACAAUUCCUUCACAAUAUGGGGCUCCUCGCAGACCACUGUGAGCUUCUCAUGGGAGAAAGUACUCUGGAGAGAUAUGAGAUUUAGAGCAGAUGAGGAUAAUCAUCCUUCAGCAUUUUGGCAAUCAUGGAGGAUCACACAUACACUACUCUAAAAUCUUACGGUGUUGGUGAUUCAUUUUAUGGGAACCUGGCCUCAAUUCAGAAGACAGAGCUUCUGGACAUCUAGCAACCAACAUUUUGACUAUAAUUUCAAUCAUUUAAAUACAUGCCCAUGUUAAAAUAAUUGGCCAAGACUGUAG
rnacentral:lncRNA from 1 species